rnacentral:rRNA from 1 species
GAUGAACGCUGGCGGCGUGCCUAAUACAUGCCAGUCGAGCGAACGGACGAGAAGCUUGCUUCUCUGAUGUUAGCGGCGGACGGGUGAGUAACACGUGGAUAACCUACCUAUAAGACUGGGAUAACUUCGGGAAACCGGAGCUAAUACCGGAUGAUAUUUUGAACCGCAUGGUUCAAAAGUGAAAGACGGUCUUGCUGUCACUUAUAGAUGGAUCCGCGCUGCAUUAGCUAGUUGGUAAGGUAACGGCUUACCAAGGCAACGAUGCAUAGCCGACCUGAGAGGGUGAUCGGCCACACUGGAACUGAGACACGGUCCAGACUCCUACGGGAGGCAGCAGUAGGGAAUCUUCCGCAAUGGGCGAAAGCCUGACGGAGCAACGCCGCGUGAGUGAUGAAGGUCUUCGGAUCGUAAAACUCUGUUAUAGGGAAGAACAUAUGUGUAAGUAACUGUGCACAUCUUGACGGUACCUAAUCAGAAAGCCACGGCUAACUACGUG